GGACCUCAGCAUGAACAACCUCACAGAGCUUCAGCCUGGCCUCUUCCACCACCUGCGCUUCUUGGAGGAGCUGCGUCUCUCUGGGAACCAUCUCUCACACAUCCCAGGACAAGCAUUCUCUGGUCUCUACAGCCUGAAAAUCCUGAUGCUGCAGAACAAUCAGCUGGGAGGAAUCCCCGCAGAGGCGCUGUGGGAGCUGCCGAGCCUGCAGUCGCUGUGAGUCAUUAGAGGGCCAGUCUGGGAGUCACCAGCUUCCUGGGGCCUGAGUCACAGCCCAGGGGCCCCUGCCUCAGCUUUCCCUUCCCUCUGCAGGCACCUCCUCUCCCCGUCCACGUUCCAGACAGCAUGCUGCUCUUGGCUUUGGUUUCUCCGGGGUUUUCUGUUGUCAUCAGUGUGUGGAUGUGUACACUCCUAUGUGUAUUUCAGGAAAAGAGGGCUCCCACGCCCCACUGGGGGACUGUGGGAAUGGGACCUCCCUAGGUGAGGCCACCAGGCCAGCGGUCCUGGGGCGACUGGCGUUCUGCCAUUGGAGCCUGGGGUUAGGGGUGGAGACUGCC
rnacentral:sRNA from 1 species